AGAGUUUGAUCCUGGCUCAGAGCGAACGCUGGCGGCGUGCUUAACACAUGCAAGUCGAGUGCGCGUCCGUAGCAAUACGGAUGGCGCACGGCGCACGGGUGCGUAACACGUGGGCAAUCUGCCCUCGGAUGGGGGAUAACUCGCCGAAAGGCGAGCUAAUACCGCAUGACAUUCCUGGAACCACGGUUUCGGGAUUCAAA
rnacentral:rRNA from 1 species